AGUGAACGCUGGCGGCGUGCCUAAUACAUGCAAGUCGAACGGAGUGGCGCGCGGGUGAGUAAUGAACAGCUAAUCUGCCCUCCACUCGAGGACAACAGUUGGUAACGGCUGCCAAUACUCUAUAGUGUAGGAUGAGGCUAUAUUGUAUCAGCUAGCUGGUGCGGUAAUGGCUCACCAAGGCUAUGACGCAUAACUGGUCUGAGAGGAGAAUCAGUAACUCGGGAGCUGAGCCACGGUCGGGACUCCUACGGGUGGAAGCACAAGGGUAUAUUGCUCAAUGGGUGAGACCCUGAAGAAGCAACGGCGCGUAGAGGAUUACACUGUUCGGAGCGUAAGCUCCUUUUGUUAGGUAAGGGGUACCUAACGAAUAAGCGCCGGCUAACUCCGUGCCAGCAGCCGCGGUAAUAC
rnacentral:rRNA from 1 species